CCUUGAACACCUCCAGGGAUGGGGCAUCCACAACCUCUCUGGGUAGCAUGUCACCUCAGUUCCCAGCAAACAAGGUGAGGUAGUGGAGCACUGCAGCAAAUGAGUUCAGCUUUUAGAGUUAUCUGUCUGGUAGAUGAAUGCAUUAAGGGUACGCUAAAUUUUGCAGCCAGCUGUCUGCAGCACUUUGUAAGUGGCGAGGCUGGAGAGCAGUCUUACAAACCUUAAUUUCCUUUCUUGCUUCUCUGCUCUUGAAACACUGUGUGGAAACAAACUGAGAUGCAUAAGUGUUGUGCAAGGUAACCUGCUGUCUGUGAAUGCUCAGCCCGGUUAAAUCCUGCUUGGUGGGUCUGUCACUCACUGCACCCAUGUCUUUCAGCCAUCUGCAGCACCUGCAGAGUGAGCAGCAGCUGUGAGAGGGGCCGUGGGCAGGGGCCUCCUACCAACGAGUGCCUUGGUGCUGGGCCAGGGGGCACAGAUUGGGCCUACUGUGCUAACGUGGGCCCUGAUGGAGGGACUUGUUGAGGAUGGUUUCCAUGUUCAAUCAAUCUUUUAUUUCAUUAAUUUAAAGUAUGUGGAAUGUCUGCACAUCUCAUAGAGUUGAGGGGGGCAUGCAGAUAUUGCUGGAGUGGUGCAGAAAGUUCCUGGCACCAUCCUACUACAGCUCCACUGUUGCAGCUGAGAGCCCCCUGAGGGCUGGGUGGGAUCCCCGAGUCCUGGCACUGCCCCACGGCCCUCCAUCCCUGCCCCCAUGCGGUUGGCAUUGGCUUGUCUAGAGGUGGCUCUUUCUGUCCUCUGCAAAGGUGAAACACUGGGUGCAAAACUGAAAUUCUCCGUGAUGUUUUGGUUGCUUUUAGUACUCAUUGUGCUUUGUUACAAUAAGUAGGCUUCUGUGUUUGCUGUAUUUUAUUUGUUUUUUCAGUAAAGCAUACUGCAACUUCCGUUUCCCUGUGCCAGGAAGCAGGAGGGUCAGGAGCUUAAAGAAGGGCUCAAAGUCUGUUACUACCUGAGUUAGGGAAAUCUGAUUGUCUGUGCUGCUUGUUUUAAAAAGAGGGAAAGAGAUCACUUGAUCGGUCAGCAAGACCACAUGACAAGCAGCUGAAUAUGAUUAAUGCCUCUUUCUGCAUGACUAUGGUAUUCAAGAGAUCUGGACUGGAUCAGGAAACUCUGUGCUGAGGUACACCUGGAGAGCUACAGGUCCACUUACAGCUGUUAAGCAUAGGUAUGUGCAUAUUUCCUCUUUUAUUUAUUUCAGUAAGAUUGAUUGCAGUAUUUUUCUUGAGCUGACAGUUGUCCUGUACCAACUGUUACUGUGUUAAGAGCUUUGAAACAGUGUUUUUGACAUUGUGAUGCUGUGAUGGUGUUGAUUUGAGAUACCUGAUUUAGCAUAGUGCAAUCUUGGUGGUCGGAGGAAAAAGUAAAUUUAAAAUUGUAGAGUAUGCUGAUUUGUGUAAAACAUAGCUGCAGUUUCAGCAUUUAAAACCAAAGCCUCUUCAGUACAUCUUGUGUUUUUUUGCUACCUGGUUGUGGCAAUUGGCACAUAUUUGGGGCGUGGGCCCUUCUCACUGAAGUUAAUUGGAAAGAUUGGGGCAGCGAUGGUAGUAACAUCGGCAGAGGACUCAAACCAGGGUACAGAGAGAGGAGAGCAUUCCUACUAGGAUGGUAUCAAAGCUUAAAAGCAAAAGAAACAAACAAACAAAAAAAAUCAACACAGAUUAUGAUGUUUUAAUUUUCUUGUUAGACGACUGACAUGCUGCUUGUAGUUCAUAGCUGUGUUAGUUUGGGCUCGCUGAGUUAGAUUUCAUUCUUCAGUAGGAACACUGGAAAUAAAUCAGUCUGAGGUAGAGACAAAACUGGCUAUGCUUAUCAAUAAGAUUAAAAUGACUGCAGUGGCCAGUGUCAGGAUUCGAUAACAAAAGGUGCCAUUUCUGAUCUCAGGCAGUCAGCCUGCAUUUCCCACUCCAUUAUGCCAAACAGGGCAGAAUUAGACCUUUGAUGAUAAGGUAUGUUGUGCAAAUAACAUCUCAUGAUACAAACAAUAUAACUCAGUAUUUGUAAAUGUUGUUUUGCUCAACCCCCUCCCCCCCAUAUUUAUUCUCAUGUUCUCAUUAACUUAACUUAUACUUAAUAAAGUGAUCCUUUAGCAUGGUGGAUUUUUAACUGAGUUGUGCACCACUGUGUUUGUUCUCAUGUGUAAUAAAUGUGUUGAUAAUAAAAGGAAUAAAAAAGUAUGCUACAUAGACUGGCAUUUUUAAUUAAUGAAGUAAAAUGGGCUGCAAGGAAACAUGAGAGCUUAUCUAGUUUGUACUCCUUUCAGUCAGAUAGUAAAUGGUUUCAGUCUUAAUUAUGUUAAAGACACUUUGGGAUGGGAUAAUAUUACUGUGUUUUGCUUUUGUGCCCCUGUGAUUUGGUCGUUCCUUGCCACCCCAAGCAUGAGUUUAUAAUCAGAUGUCCUUUCUAGCCUGGAUGUCAGCGUUCUUCUAAUUGUGGACUGAAUUUCCAGUUUUUUGCAGACUGUGACUAACCAUGGAGGAGCUGUUCAGAGAACAGGCAACAGUAGUUUCCUUCAUGUCUGUGGGAAGGUCACAAGAUUUUUCCAAGGUUGUAAUUGAUAUUUAGCACAGUCUAUCUUAAGAUGAUUUUUCUAGUCCAGAUCAUCAGCCCUUGACUUGCAUUUAUGGGAGAAAAGUGAUGAAUACAUCAGUGCAGCCACACAAAUAAGCUUUCUUGCUAUUUCCAUAUAGGCAUCUACAGUAUAUGGAAAAGCUUAUAUAAAAUAAUAGGGGAAGGAUUUCUGUAAGCACUGAUGCUGACUUUGUGUUAUUUAUUUCUAUGCUGAACUGGAAAGGAGUCUUUGUCACAGUUGCCUCAUUGUAGUGUGUUGUUGAAUAAUGCUUUUCAUUUCUUGCAUUAUAACUGCAUUUUGAAUAUUUUGUCUUAUAGAAACACUUAUAGAAAUUGCUGUAAGGAGUUAGUCUCAUAGUGUCAGUUGUUUGAGAAUUAAAUUUUGAUAUUGAGGUUCUGCUGUAUAGAGCAAAGCAAUAUUCUAGUGCAUGGUGCUGCCUCCCUCCCUCCCCAUCCUUCCCAUGGCUUUGGAAAUGACAUAGCACUACUUUAAGCAAAACAAACUGAGUAACCUUAAGCCAGGUGAAGACAAACUUGGAAUCUAAUUCAACUGGAUUUUUAAAAGAAUGGCAUCAAAGACAAAGUGUAGGUAUUUUUUUCCUUUUAAAAAAUAU